rnacentral:rRNA from 1 species
UACGUAGGGUGCAAGCGUUGUCCGGAAUUAUUGGGCGUAAAGCGCGUGUAGGUGGCCAUGUAGGUCCGCUGUGAAAACUUGAGGCUCAACCUCGAGACGCCGGUGGAAACCAUCAGACUAGAGUCCGGAAGAGGAGAGUGGAAUUCCUGGUGUAGCGGUGAAAUGCGCAGAUAUCAGGAAGAACACCCGUGGCUAAGGCGGCUCUCUAGUACGGUACUGACGCUGAGACGCGAAAGCGUGGGGAGCGAACAGG